GACAGAGGGUGCAAACGUUGUUCGGAAUUACUGGGCGUAAAGGGUUUGUAGGUGGCUUGUUAAGUCAGACGUGAAAUCCCUCAGCUUAACUGGGGAACUGCGUCUGAUACUGAUGAGCUUGAGUGCAGGAGAGGAACGCGGAAUUCCAGGUGUAGCGGUGAAAUGCGUAGAUAUCUGGAGGAACACCGGUGGCGAAGGCGGCGUUCUGGACUGCAACUGACACUGAGAAACGAAAGCCAGGGGAGCAAACGGG
rnacentral:rRNA from 1 species